GGCUCGGUGGCCAAGAAGAUAGCGGCGCCGGUCUUCGAACAGGCAGGACAAAGGUUCGAAUCCCUUUCGGGCCG
rnacentral:tRNA from 1 species